UCCACCGAUUGACUAAGGUUUCCAGAGGAAGGCUCGUCCGCUCUGGGUUAGUCGGGUCCUAAGCUGAGGCCGACAGGCGUAGGCGAUGGAUAACAGGUUGAUAUUCCUGUACCACCUAUAAUCGUUUUAAUCGAUGGGGGGACGCAGUAGGAUAGGCGAAGCGUGCGAUUGGAUUGCACGUCUAAGCAGUAAGGCUGAGUAUUAGGCAAAUCCGGUACUCGUUAAGGCUGAGCUGUGAUGGGGAGAAGACAUUGUGUCUUCGAGUCGUUGAUUUCACACUGCCGAGAAAAGCCUCUAGAUAGAAAAUAGGUGCCCGUACCGCAAACCGACACAGGUAGUCAAGAUGAGAAUUCUAAGGUGAGCGAGCGAACUCUCGUUAAGGAACUCGGCAAAAUGACCCCGUAACUUCGGGAGAAGGGGUGCUCUUUAGGGUUAACGCCCAGAAGAGCCGCAGUGAAUAGGCCCAAGCGACUGUUUAUCAAAAACACAGGUCUCUGCUAAACCGUAAGGUGAUGUAUAGGGGCUGACGCCUGCCCGGUGCUGGAAGGUUAAGAGGAGUGGUUAGCUUCUGCGAAGCUACGAAUCGAAGCCCCAGUAAACGGCGGCCGUAACUAUAACGGUCCUAAGGUAGCGAAAUUCCUUGUCGGGUAAGUUCCGACCCGCACGAAAGGCGUAACGAUUUGGGCACUGUCUCAACGAGAGACUCGGUGAAAUCAUAGUACCUGUGAAGAUGCAGGUUACCCGCGACAGGACGGAAAGACCCCGUGGAGCUUUACUGUAGCCUGAUAUUGAAAUUCGGCACAGCUUGUACAGGAUAG
rnacentral:rRNA from 1 species